rnacentral:rRNA from 1 species
GUGCCAGCAGCCGCGGUAAUACGGAGGGCGCAAGCGUUGUUCGGAAUUACUGGGCGUAAAGCGCGUGUAGGCGGUCUAGCAAGUCGGUUGUGAAAUCCCCGGGCUCAACCCGGGAACUGCAUCCGAAACUGCUGGGCUAGAGUUUCGGAGAGGAAGGCAGAAUUCCCAAUGUAGGGGUGAAAUCCGUAGAUAUUGGGAGGAAUACCAGUGGCGAAGGCGGCCUUCUGGACGAUGACUGACGCUGAGACGCGAAAGCGUGGGGAGCAAACAGGAUUAGAAACCCCGGUAGUCC